rnacentral:snRNA from 1 species
GUGCUUGCUUCAGCAGCACAUAUGCUAAAAUUGGAACGAUACAGAGAAGAUUAACAUGGCCCCUGUGCAAGGAUGACACGCAAAUUUGUGAAGAAUUCCAUAUUAAA